GGGGACCUGUUUUGAGUCUGAACUGGAUGUUUCCACACCCAUUUAUGUUAUGCAAGAACAUGAAAGUAUUUCAGAGCACCUACUUUCUUUAAAUACAGUUCCAGCUGCAGGAACUAGGUUAGUUGUAAAAGCUCUACAGUAUUAUAGCAAAGUGAAGAAAUUUUGGGAUACCUGGCUUCAUUAUAUUGAAUCAUUAUGUCUUUGAAACUGGAGACAUGCCAUUGAUGAGGAAAAAAGUAUAUAUUAUUGUACAGAUGUAUCAUUUCCAUUUGAGACAAAUUUUUUUUAAUACUGAUCUCAUUCAACUUUUCGAGGUCUGCAUGAGAACAGCAGGCUUGGCCACUUUCAGUGUUGUCUUCAUAGGACUCUAAACUUCCAUAUUGUAUUUUCCAUGUGUAAUAUUUAUUUCAAGGUUUGAUUCAAAGCAAGAUAUAUAUCAAAGAUUAUUUUAAAGGUAAAAGCCUGAAACUUAAAAAGGCUUAUUCAGGUUAACAUUAGGGAUUUUUGAGACUUCCUUAGUCUUCGCUUAACCAUUUGCAGAAGAACGUAAAAUGUUUUAAGAGAUUGCUAUAGCUUGUUCACUUCUGACAGUCAAAUUGCUACUCAUCUGAGGAAUGAUGAAAUCACUUCUCCUGAAGGACAAUUUUUAGAAGCAGAUAAACAGUUGAAGAGUGGUUUGGUCUUUUUGGUGGUGGUGGUUUUUUUUGGUUUUGCAUAUUCAUGUAGGACGAAGGUCACCACAUCUAACUGAUAACUCCAAGUAUGAAAUGCAAAAGGGAAGGUAUUUUUUUAUCUGGGAUAGUAUCACUGUUUUUAAAAAAAGAAAAAAAAAAGUUAAGUGAAAUUGCUACAUAAAAGUGAUUGUGAGCUUAUGCUUGCUUUACUUUGCCUCAUAGAUCCUGAUAUUGAGUUGACAAAGUAAUGGAAGUUUUGAUUCAAGUUUGGCAUGUUUCUUGCUGACUUGAUUCAUAACUUAACAUGAAUGGAGUUUAAGCUUUCUCAUCAGUUUCCAUGUGUGUUAAUUUAAAUUAGUAAUAAGAUGAGCAGAAUGUUAUUGUUAGUCUGCACAUAACAUUAUCAAGUGCUCUGUGGCUCUCAAAGGUUGAAGACUACUAUUUGCUUUACGUGCUAUUGUGAUUUCAGUCAUCAGUGCAAUUCGAUUCCUGAUUUGUGUGUCUGCUUGCAUUGAUCUGGUAUCAGAUAGGUAAAUCUGAAAAGUUUAUACCUACUUCCAGUUUCCGUUCUCUUAUUGCCUCUCUUUCUGGCUGUUAGAUAGAACACUGGAACUGAUUUUAAAUAGUAUAUCUGAGAUUGAAUAAUACACGGGUAUAACUUCACUCACCUUUUCAGUCUUUUCCUUAAUGUAGUAACUUAAUCAUUGCAAAACGUGCGUAUACAGGAUGUUUGCUGUUGAAAGACAGUAAAUUUGCUCUUCCUUUAUCAGCUUUAGCAUGCUGUCUUGUUGAUUUCUAGUUUUCUGUGGCUUCCACUUUGUAUCAAAUUGAAUUAACCAAUUUUCUGACCAUUUCAGAUAGGCUUAAACUCUAAAUGAAAUCUGAGAAUUAGGCAUCUUCAGGACUACUACGGAUGUGGGAUGAGAAUUUGGCCUUGCAGCUGGAAUGAGAGCCACCUUUUUUGUCGUAUGCUUAGGGUGUUAUAGGUAAAUGACCACAGAAUAGCCUAAUGAAUAAUUUUGCUAACCCGUAUGUACUACUUUUCCAAAAAGUAAGAAUGCAAAACAUUGAUGUUGACUUCACUAGCCAGCUUAAGUUUAAUGGUGAGUUGCUUUUAAAUGGACACUGCACAGGCAGCUGUUGUCUAGGAAGCUAAACCUAUUAGUUAUAUGGCUGAAUAAAAGAUUUGGAAAGAGACAUGGAACAGGGGCAGCAGUGAGAUCAAGUCAUUGUGCCUCAACAAUAAGAAGUCUGCUUGAUGAGUCUCCUACUCAUUGUCAGACAACAUAACCUCGGGUGUCUAAAUAUAUGGUUUGUUUAAAAUCCUCAUCCUAACUGCUGUCCCUCUUGAAGGAGCUUCUUGGUGCUGUCACUGUCUGACAACCCUACCGUAGGAUAUCACUAGCCUAGAUGCUGUAUAUUUAUUAUCUAGAAGGUUUUUUAGAGGGAUGGCUCUCUGUCUUGCCUGUUCUGUUGCUCUCAUCUUUCCCCACAUUGGCAGCACAAAUUAGAGAUGUAUAUUAUAAUUCUUACUGUCUCCUAUUAGCUCUUGAAAAAUCGAUGGUGACCCAAGCAGGACUUGCUAAGGUGUGGGGUUUUUUUUGGAGGGGGGCGAAGGGGAGGUCCUUGUUUUUCUGUUGCUCAGCAUUUUCGACCAGUAACAGAGGCACAGAGGAGAUGCAGUUCUGCACUGACUCUCAGUCAGAAUGUUCUUUCAUAUGGAAACGUAUUUUUAUAUUACAUUUAUACAGAAUUGCCCCUAUUUUGAGCUCCCAGAAUUUUUAAAGAUCUGCACAUUGCUCAGAUUUGAUUCCUUUGGAAGUUGUUAUAAAAUAUGUAUUUUAUGUUUGCUAAUGUAUUAUAAAUGUAAAACUAAGCUUUGCUUGUAUAAUAAAUAUACCCCAUGGAGGUACCAGUUUUAUUUGCUAACUUGAUAGGUUCUUAAUGAAUACAAAAAGCAAAACUUGUCAUUACUGUGACUGUUUUGUUAGCAUAAAUGAAGGGGAGGAAUGCAUUUUUUUUAAACAAAGUAACUACAUAGGGCUUAAGCAGACAGUGACUAAGAAUACUUGGUUAGUUUUAAGUUGUUGGUGACAAAAAUUAGAGUUAAACAAGGUUCAGGCUAGAAUAUUACGUUCCUAGGAUUCUUUAAGAUAGUGAUCUUAAGAUACAUGAGGUUGGGGGGGGAGCAGUGCUGUGUUCUGUUUGGUUUUUUUUCCUCUCUUUUCUCCAUUGCUUUUGAUUCUGGAUUUCUACACUAGUGUAAAGUCAGUAUAAGGUAUGGUAAUUGCCAUCUGGUACCCAAGUAUAUAUGAUGAAUCAAAGGAGAUGAGGGAGUCUGUCUUUUUCUGUUUGGGUGUGUUUAAGGACUAACGCUUGCAGAAAUAUUUACAGUGAACAUGAAGUUAAUUGAGAAUAGGUUCAAGCUUGCAAGUGUAUGGACCAUUAGAAUUUCUAAGAGUUUUGUUUUGCCCAGCGAUAGCACUGGAUAAUAGAUUGUUAUGACUCUAAGAGACCUGCUGGAAACACUGUAAACUAUGGGGGUUAACCUCAGGCAGAUAUCUGCAUUUGUGAAUGUGUGUGUUGGUACUUUGUUGCAAACUCUUUAGUUCAUUUUGAGCUGCUCUGCUGUUUGGAAAGUUUGUUAGUGUUAAGUGCAAAGAGGAGAAAAAACAUAUUUUUCUAGAAGAAUGAAUGUACUUGGGCUUUGAACAUUACAUAAAGCAUUUAGUGAAUACAAAGGACUGUCGUCUUAUGAAAUAUAUUUCAAUAAUGUUGUGUUUGAAAUGCUUUUUUAAUCAAUUACAAAAAAGUCAUCCUGAACAUGCACUUACAUUUAAAUGGAAAAAAGUCUGAAAAAGUUCUACAGGGUGAAUUGAAUUCUGAAAUGUCUUCUCUUCAGGCAAUAAGUAUUAACUAUGUAAUGUAAGCUAUGUUAGACAUUCAGAGUAAAUGUGUCAGUACCUAAUGUACUUAAAGAAAAAUGUAAAUAGGUGUCUGAGAAGGGAGCAGAGCUAGAAAAUGCUGAUGUGUGGUGCCGAAAUCCAGAUUUCUGUAGCUGUGUCUGUAUUUGCUGGCAUUAAUCAUGUGUCAUGGCUAUUGAAACCCUGGACAAGAAUGAACAAUAGACCUUUCUUUGUAAAUGGAACUUGGCAAUAAAAAUGGUGUUACUGAA